GACAGAGGGUGCAAACGUUGCUCGGAAUCACUGGGCGUAAAGGGCGUGUAGGCGGGAAGGAAAGUCAGGCGUGAAAUCCCUGGGCUCAACCCAGGAACUGCACUCGAAACUUCUUUUCUUGAGUGCCGGAGAGGAAAGCGGAAUUCCUGGUGUAGAGGUGAAAUUCGUAGAUAUCAGGAGGAACACCAGUGGCGAAGGCGACUACCUGGCCUGUUCUUGACGCUGAGGCGCGAAAGCCUAGGGGAGCAAACGGG
rnacentral:rRNA from 1 species